UGUAAUGAAAUUUGCCUAAACCUAACUUUAAUCCACAAUUCUCUGGAUUAAUAUAGAGCUUAAAUUUGUACGAUUGUGUAGGCAGAGAAUCAUAAAUGCCUAACUAUAAACUGCAGCAAAGUUAUUGUUAAGCAAGCAUUCUAAUUUCCUGAUUAAAUUAUAGCCAUAAGAGGAAGCAAAACCGAACUAUUAGUCAACUGCAUAUUUAUGUACAUCAACGCUUUUGGCAAUGCAAUUUGGUUAUAUCAAAUUUGCAGGUUACUUUCAUUAUACAUAUUACGUAUCUGGAUUUUCUUGAUGAAGGAGGUCAUGUAAAUAUUUUGUGAAUUUUGUUUCGUGUAGCUCCAGCAAAUAGAGUGAAGGCUUGAAGAAUAAGAGAAGCAGCACAAGGUCUGAUGGUCAGGUUGAAGAGAUACUUGGAGAUGAGGGGUGCUGAUGGAGGGCCGGCCUUGGAGAAGCUAGCUUAUGUGCUUUGCUUGCAUUUUGGAAUGUAUUAGACAUGACAGCUCCCUAAACUCCUAAAGAAAGACAGAUGCUGAGAGAGAAGAUGAUAAACACAUGUUAAAAAAAAAGUGUCAUCCUGCAAAUACUUGGAAUAGAUUGACUUAAUAACUUUUCACAUCUAAGUUUGAAUAUUUUUUUAAAGCACGUUCCAGAAACAGGACUAAAGACACCAUUUUGUGAUGCAUGUUGCCGAAGAUGUAAUGAAGUUUGCA